rnacentral:sRNA from 1 species
UGCAAGUACCUGAACUGUGGAAAACACAACCACAGAGAGUCGGGGACUUCUUUUCAGGAGCAGUGUCUGUUCCUGGCUGGUUCCAAGUCCCUGCAGCUCACAGGUGGGCUGCACAACCCAGUGCACAGCUCUGGCCUCUCCUGCUUCACUGACCAUCCUCUUUUAUCAUUUCCUGCCUCCAGGUGGUCAUUUGCCAUUGUACAGCCUUUGCUACUGAGGUCACCUCAGAACCCACCAUUUGCCAUGAGCAUGACUUGACAGUGCCUUAACCCUCGGCCACUUCUCUUUCCUGCCAUAGGACUUCAUGGGGCCGGAAGUGUAAGAUGCGGUGGGGCUCGUCUGCUGUGCACACACAAGCCCCUUGCAAAGGCACAGGAAAUAAUAUGUGGACAACUUUGAACAAUGCAGUGACAAGAGCCUGGACCCGCUGGGUGGAGGGUUCCAUCUCUCUGUACCUAAGAUCUCCCCAGCCUUCAUCAACAGUGUUCAAUCUGCUGCCAUUAAGUCUCUAUCGCAAGUGAUCUCAUCCCUUCUCCCAGUGUCUCUGUAACAGCGUUCUCAACAACCAUUUUAUCGACAAGUUUGAAAGAUACCCUUCCAGAAAAUGGAGUCCAACUCCUCACCUUGGACAUCCCCCCACACACACACAUCCUGCCUCAGUUUCCUACUUCCUUGGUUUUUGGGACUCUCUGUUCCCACACAGAUAGCCCACUCCAAAAUACUGCCUGUCCUCCUCGUGCACUACCUGUGUAGCCAGGUGUUUGCGCACCCCAAUACCCACUCUCACUCCCACUUCUAGCCUGGAGAACCCUGCCUCAGCCAAGCACCCCUACUUAGUGUCAUCCCACCAACAAGCUAGCAAAGGAAAAGCUUUGCUUCUGCUGUGGCCUCUGUUCUUAGAACCUAUAUGAGAUGAUGCUGGCUGGCAUGGUUCAGACCAUCAGGACAUCCUUAGCUCUUAGCUCAAAGGCUCAGCGCAGCAGCUAGGGCAGGGCUGUGCCCUCAACCCCAUGACAGAGAUGAGGAAGCCAAUAACACUAACCUUCUUGAAGUCAGUUAGUGGAUAAAGGGCAGAACCUUCCGGCUUCCCGUUCAUAUUUCAUUCAUUGUUUCACUGGCCUUCCCAGAAGAGCAACAGAACUGAUCAGGUCCACCUCACUGUCCACACAGCACAAGAAAAGAUUGCUUGGGAGUUUUCCUACCAACAUGCUGGGUCUGACAUGCUAUCUGUGGUUGGAAUAGGCUUAGCCUCCACCCCUCCUACCCCCAUGCCCAAAAGCUGCCUGUGGUCUGUGAGUACCUAGGAAAGAACAGGGUUUCUGGAACUCUAGAAAAACUCAGAAGCACAAAGUGUCUCAGAAAAGACUGUCCCCAGAAACAAAUAAAAUAAAACAUAACUUUUUAUAUUUGUCUCAUUGGGAAAGGCAAGUUUUAAUUACUCAGAAAACUAUCAGAGCAGCCCUUUUGCCAAAAUGCUAACAUGCACAUGUUAUGAGGGAUUUUUUUUUUCUUUGUAAGCCAAAUUUCCUCUCUCAUGUUUGGGGACCUCAUGAAAUGGAACACCUACCUUCUUCAAAAGAUACUUUGAAGCCAUAAAAAUGUUCAUAGGCUUUGACUCAGUAAUCCCUUUCUGGGAAGCUAGCCUAAGAAAAUACCCUGAAAUAUGGCAAAAGCCAUAUGCAGAAAAAUAUCUAUCAAGGAGCUACUCAGUUAAAAACUGGACUCAACCCAAAGAUUCAAUGAAGGGAAAGGAGGGCAGUUAAGUCUAAACCUUGAAGAAAUAUUCUGUAGCCAUUAAAGAUGAGGGGUAUACAAUUUAUGAAGGGUCACAGAAAAUGCUUAUGAUAAAAUAUUAGGUGGAAACGCCUGGAAAAAUAUUGAAAUGCACACAAGUUGUAAAAGCAAUAAGGAAAUGUAGAAAACGUAGUUGUCACAACGUCAAAACAGCGGGCUUAUGGAUUUGUACCUUGUUUUCAAUUUUCCUUCUUGUUAUCUUAUCACCACUUUCCCAUAACAGUUGGAAUUUCUUUAAGAAAAAGCAAUGGAUGUUACUAGUUAUUUCUCCAGGAAAAAUACACCAAUAAUAAAGAUUAGACGUCGGGAGGAAAAGCGUCCUGCCCAUCACUCAUUGUCCUUAGAAGACAUCGAUUUUUCAAAUGAGGUCAAUAAAAAAAACGUAUGCAAAAAAGGAAAA